rnacentral:lncRNA from 1 species
GUGGGGCGCAGUGCUGUGCAGAGCAGGGCACAGAGCUCAGCAGGAUGCAGCUCCUGGAGGCGCAGGGACUGAUGCUGCCCCAUCCCCAGGAAUGGUGUUAAUGGGGCCCACCUGGCGCCCAGGGCUCAGGGAACUGAACCCAGUGCCCUCACCCUGAGCUCAGCGCAUUCCCCUGGUGUUAACCCCAUUUCCUCUGCACGUGGAGCAGUCGUGGCUGUUAGCAGGGCUGUCGGCACAGGGGGGGCUGCAGCGUGCCCCUAUUAGUGCCCUGCACUAAUCCCACUGAUUCUUUCCAUCCAGCCCCUGUGACACUCCGAUCCCAUAGAGGAGGUGAUGUCUCGUGGGUUGAAACCCUUCCAUUCGUCCCAGCAGAGCUUUGAGAGCACACGGAGAGCUCUGCGCACCACUGAUUUAUCGUGGGAAGCGGCAGGGCGCUCUCAGCUCAGAGCAGCAGCACGAACAUCCUCUCUGAAUGGCAGCAGAGCAGGAAGAGCGUUUGUUAUGGGGAGAAAAACGCAUCCCAGAGGUUGCAGGAGCAGCUCACAGCCCUUCCUCCCAACCCAAUUUCCUUCUGGCUCCGACGUCCCAGACCCGAUGUGCCCACGGUGGGCGCAGUGAGGCGAUGCUCAUCUCCAGGAUCCCGACGCUGCUGCCGGCUCCGUCUCCACGCAGCAAUGCGCGGGGACACCCGGAGACAGAGCCGUGUUUGUUGUUUUAAGAAAUACGGAGCAGACGGGGAUGCUCUCCUCCUCCUCCUCCAGGGGAUCGGACCCACCCUGAGCAUCUCCCAGUCACUGCGCCGUCCCGAUGCGGGGUGACCGACAGCUCCCGGCUCCUUUUCCCCGCAGCAGUGCGGGUUCCUGGGGUCUCCAACCGGCCCCAAUUUGCUGGAGCCCCCUCUGAGACCUUCUGGCCGUGGAAAUCCGACGCCCCGUUGGCAGGAAGGGCUGCGGGGAGGCCGUGCAGACGCAGCUGAAGCUGAGCAGAUCCCACCGCUUUC